GGAUGAUAAAGAGGGUCAGGGAGGGGGCCCUGCUCCCUUUCCUGGGGGUGAGGUGCCUCAUCCCUUGGCUUUCAGUCUGGGGGAACUGGGUGGUGUCCUCAGAGGCACCAAGGAGCUGCUGGUUGCUGUCCCUCCAUUUUUUCCUUCUGACUCCAGAAGCUUGAGUGCCUUUUGCCUGCCAGAAAGCAGCACUGAUAUCAGAGAGAGGUGUGGAUAAACACUUUUUUGUUUGCUCUUCUCCAUUUGUACACCUGCAAAGACAAGCCUUUUCCAGUAUCUGCAUUUGGAUCCAUGAGGGAGUUAUUAAUUACACUGGCACCACUAUCCAGUAGCAAUGGGACAAUGACCCUGCACUCCAAAGUGACCACAUGUGGUAACAGAGGGGACCAUGCUGGCACAGUGCAUCUGGAAACUCGUGUGGGAAACUGUCCUGCGCUGCUGGUGAGAUCCAAGGAAACCCCUGAUGGAGUGAGUGAGUGUGUGGUUUUCAGGGAAAGCUCUGCAGGAGUGGGACUCCAGUGACGGCCCCAUCCAUCACAAGUCACAGCUCUUAUCUCUGCAGUGCAUAAGAGAUAUGGUUUAUGAAAAAGCUCUAGGUGAUUAUUUGUUUUUCUUCUCCUCCGUAUAUGUGUCAGGAGUUGCUUGGAGCAAGCUUUGUCUGUUGGUGGCAUGUGAAACAGUAUCUUCCAGGAAACUUCAGAAAUAUUUUAUGAAGUGUAGUAAUAAAAAUAUCCAUGUGGUACA
rnacentral:lncRNA from 1 species